rnacentral:rRNA from 1 species
UGCAGUCGAGCGGAUGACGGGNGNUUGCUCCUUGAUUCAGCGGCGGACGGGUGAGUAAUGCCUAGGAAUCUGCCUGGUAGUGGGGGACAACGUUUCGAAAGGAACGCUAAUACCGCAUACGUCCUACGGGAGAAAGCAGGGGACCUUCGGGCCUUGCGCUAUCAGAUGAGCCUAGGUCGGAUUAGCUUGUUGGUGAGGUAAUGGCUCACCAAGGCGACGAUCCGUAACUGGUCUGAGAGGAUGAUCAGUCACACUGGAACUGAGACACGGUCCAGACUCCUACGGGAGGCAGCAGUGGGGAAUAUUGGACAAUGGGCGAAAGCCUGAUCCAGCCAUGCCGCGUGUGUGAAGAAGGUCUUCGGAUUGUAAAGCACUUUAAGUUGGGAGGAAGGGCAGUAAGUUAAUACCUUGCUGUUUUGACGUUACCGACAGAAUAAGCACCGGCUAACUCUGUGCCAGCAGCCGCGGUAAUACAGAGGGUGCAAGCGUUAAUCGGAAUUACUGGGCGUAAAGCGCGCGUAGGUGGUUUGUUAAGUUGGAUGUGAAAGCCCCGG